UGCCCAGCAACUCCUAUCCCUACCUCCGCGUGGCACCGGAUGGGCUGUGGCCAUAGACUGGUAGGGAAGG
rnacentral:ribozyme from 1 species